rnacentral:rRNA from 1 species
UACAGAGAUCUCAAGCGUUGUUCGGAUUCAUUGGGCGUAAAGGGUGCGUAGGUGGUGCUGUAAGUCAGGUGUGAAAUCUCGGGGCUCAACCCCGAAACUGCACUUGAUACUGCAGUGCUCGAGGACUGGAGAGGAGAUUGGAAUUCAUGGUGUAGCAGUGAAAUGCGUAGAUAUCAUGAGGAAGACCAGUGGCGAAGGCGGAUCUCUGGACAGUUCCUGACACUGAGGCACGAAGGCCAGGGGAGCAAACGGG